ACUCUGCUCUCUUCAUUUCCAAACUGCUGCAAAUGCCUAAGCUGAAGGAAAAUUUGUACAUUUCUGCAAGUACCAGACUUUGUAGGCGGCCCAGAGAUAAAAGCAAAUGAUGCAUCAUCAUUCAAAAAGGUGUGAUAAGUUUGGGGAUUUUUCAUUGCUGUCUUCCUUUCCCUCCAGUGAUUAGAGACAAACAUUUCAUAGAAUAGGCUGAUGACUGGUGGUUGGACAGAGAUCAAGCAAAUCUAAGGCUGUUUCUUUUGAGAAGCAGAUUUCUAGCCACUAGAACACCUAUUUGAAGCUGCAGCUGCACACCUUUCUCUGUCUUUAUUUCAGCUGGUGUAGUUAGGUUAUUUUAGUGAAUCACUUGCUAAUUUUCUACAGUACAAUUGCAUGGUAGAAAAUAUUUUUAGAGAGACAUGACCUCUCGGAAGCUCGUGAGUGUAGCUUACGACCAGUCUGUUCCUGUGACACAUGAAAUACAUCCUAAUCCGUUAAGGUCAGAUGGACUGGACACUUGCUCACAAGGGCAAGGUCUGCAGCCAAAAGAAUUUAUACUGAUUAAGUGCUUUUUUAGAACUCAUUGCAUGAAUUUCUAACCUUCAAAUAAGUCACCCCUUGGGAGAUCACUGAUGACACAGCCACUUGUCUCAAAAUUCAGCGGCUUGAUCUUUAUUGAACUUGAUGAGCAAACAUUUAAAUGAUAAUUGAGACACUAAUUAAAUGCGGUGCCUGUUCUCCCGGUUGAGAAUUGAAAGGAAAGACUAAAUUAUUUAAUGACAAUUUGGGGUAUUGCAGGUCCAGAUCUUUAGCAGACGUGGAAGAAAGAAGGGUUUGUUCAGAUGUUUGAACUUGUUGCUGCUGCUGCGAGCGCUCAGAACGUCGCAGUUGAUCCCCUGACUUUACAAAGGCAUAAAACAGGAUCCCAGUCACCACAGCUUGCUGCUGAGUGCCAGGACAUUAUAUUUACUCUGGUGACAAUUCCUCCCAGUGCAGUCGCGUAUCACUGCUACUCUGUCCAGGAAGCAGAAGAGUGAAACACGUGCUUGGCACUUCCACAGGGAUCUCUGAGUGCAAAGAGACAAAGAUGAAAACCAGCUGAUAGGAUACAGGCAAUGAUUACAGAGGAAAUACUGGAUGUCAGAAGAGGGGAGGGAAGCAAUGACAAGGUCCAGAACACCUUUGGGUGCUGCAACCACCUGAAACCUCCUGAAAUCGCUCGCCACUGCUCAAACCACUUUUAAUAAACAGGUAACUAAAAUUCAAGCACUUCCUUUGUAAAGCCUUUUGGUUUCAGAAGAGUGAAUCACUGUCUGACAGUUCGGUGGGAGGUUAUUCAUCCAGGAUUGCUUCACUCUUUUGUGGAGGUGCUUGGUGAGCUGCUCUGCACGCUGGCAGGCUGCUCCAGCCAGGCAUUUACUCCUACAAGUGCCACCUGCUCUGUUAUAAUCCUUGCCUCGCUGAAGUCGCCAGCAUCUUUCUGCUUGAUCUGCAGGGAAGCUCCCUCGUGUUGAACUUGGCUGCUCUUUUACGAGAGUAAGGGUUUGAGGAGCUGUUUGGCUCAGUAGCACUUGGCAACCUCAGGAAGCGCAGGCGUUCAGCUGGGCAGUGGACGCACGUUCGUUCGAGGGGGGCUGCUGUGUGCCCCACCCUGCAGUGUCAGCUCACAGCGUGCCUGUGCCUCGGAGGCACUCGCUGUGCAGCCGACACAGCCCUCAGGCAUCAGGCAGCUGGGGAAAGUGCCACAGAAGCUUUAGCAAGAGAACACAUAAUAGCCAAAGUCGAAGGGCGAAUUGAGAUAUAGUGGGGGAGGCAGCUAUUAUGUUCCAGCUCUCUUUAAAAACAGUUCUGAGACGUGUAAGGUAUUGUGUUGUGUUUGUUGCUGGAUUUAAGACCGCUGGCUGCCAGGCAGUGAAGGUCACUCCGUAUUUCCUUCUUUAAGGCAAGUUGCUGCUGUUUAUAUUAACAAGAGAGCAGCAGUGCUGGCUAAAUCCUGGCAUGUUAACCUGCAUCUCUCCUGGGGAGCAGGUCUCCGACGCGCUCCCUCAGGACCUGUAUAGUUGGAGAGUUGUAUAUCUUGUAGGUGUCAAGCCCAAUCAGAGCUUCCUUGCCAGGAUGUGUUAAGGCAGCUGUCUGCAAUUUGUGUUACAGUGUGCAUCUCUGCCAGUAAACUACUUUUGCUCUCCCUUGUGCUGUGUCUGCCGUCUGCAGGGCUGCUGGGAGAGCUGCCAGAGGGAGAGAGAGCAACUGCAUGCACAAAGGUGGCUGGGUGGCACCUCUUGUAAUCUGUGUUCUGCACAAUGUAUUGAUUGACUUUGUGGAUGGAUCCCAGGGGCUGAACACAAACAGCAUGUACCAGAGCAUGACAUUUUAAUCAGAGACAGGUUUAACUACUGGGAGCAGCUCGGGUAAUGUCUACUUUAAAAAAAAAAAAAAAAAAAUUAAAGAAAAUUGCACAAAAGAACAAAAAAAG